UAGGUCGGUGGAGCAUAAUUCAUGAGGUGGAGCCUAAUUGGCUGCCAGAGCAGGGCGGGCGCCCUAGGUGGGAGGGUGGGCACCCUAUCCCCGGGCCCGCUCGGCCUCCCGUUCGUUCGCGUGGCUUCUGGACUCUUCUAGAAGAUAGAAAAUUGGCGCACACGUUAAUAUCUCUAUGUAAACCCAACGUGUGGGCCUUUCCUCCAUAUUUCCUGAUAACCCCCUGCAGAAAUAGACAAACACCAAAACUCAUGGAAUUCUGUUAGAUAAAACCCUAAGUCUAGGUGUUGGUUGCAUUUGGAUCCUUUUCUUUAUUUAUUUGAUGAUUAAAUUUGAUACUUAAGGACCGUUAACAAACUCCCCCAAGCUUACCUCUUGCUCGUCCCUGAGCAAGGAUAGACUUAGUGAUGGAUUAGAAGCUGCUGCAAUGCCUUUAAAAGUCGACUGUACACAUGCUUUCAAAUGAUGUCUCAUCUCUGAGUUAGAGUAAACUAUUAAGACUUAAAAUUUACUCAUUUUACCUUUCACCAUGGGGCUUGCAACCAUCACUUGUGUCUUGAGUAGUUAAAAGAUAGAACGGUCUAGUCAAGCGCCAUGUCUCUUAUUCUUGAUUAGCUAUAGCUCUGGAGUUUUUGUAGAUUUUCAAAUAAAACUCAGAGAUUCCUUUGUAUGACUCUCUCAAAUCUCUCUUUUGUGGUAUUUUUGGAUCCUUACCAAGGCAGUGAUGGUAUAUGCCUUCUCUCAAAGUAUGUAGUAUUUGUGGUAUAAGGCAUAGUGACAUUGCCUUCUCUCUCACCCUACUCUAAUAAGGCUUGAUAUCUGGAGCUCAUAGGUGGGAGAUAAAGUAUACAUACUUAUAAGACAUUUAUUGCAUAGUCAAACCAUGGAUCUAGAGAAACAAGUCAAUAAGUCAAAUCAAGAUAUGCAUGUGUGGCGAGUGAAUGGUGUAUGGUGAUGAUGGUGAUAACAAUGGUAAAAGUCUAAUUCUACUUUUGCUCUUUUGAGGGGGUACAAAUCUUCCUUGCACUUGAAGCUUUUGAGGGGAAUGAGAUGCUCUAUAUUUUAUUUUUAUUUUCUCUCAGGUGGGUAUCUUGUACCCCUAAUUCUACUGCCGGACACUUGUCCAUUUUUACCUCUCGUCUCACUUUUUUUUCGAGGUUUCGGGCACUUGCCCCUUUUUAUUUCCUGGUAUUUUUCCUUUUUCUUCCCUUUUUUUAGAGCACUCACCCUCCUGGAAUAAUGUAGCAAAUGGUAGUAACCAAAAUAUCUUAAGCAUUUAUUUCACAGGGAAAACAGGAAUAAUUUUAGGUGAAUCUGGGGAUGGAAUUGAGUGGUGUAUGUGGAUGCGUACUUCUAGAGUAGAAGUAGAAUGUAUGAGUGAACGUGCAAGUGAAUCUUGAUUUUAACUGCAUGACAAGCUCCCAAGGGUCUACACAACUUGACCACACUCAAGGCUCAUAAGCAGUAAAAAGUAAAUGUAUGAUUCAUUGUCUAAUAAGCAUGUAUAUAUUGCUGUGGUAGGAUUUUAAACUCGCAUCAUACAGGAACUCAUCAUGCAAUAUUUUAAAAAUUUUCAAAGAUAAAAUUCUCUAGAAUUCUAGCAUCUCUAGGAACAGAUAAACAACAGCUCAACCUUCCCAUAUCAUAUCCAUUAACGACUUAGACUUUAGAUCAAGUUCUCUUCCCACAAGUUCAGGUUUAGAGCAAUCUUUAAAUUAUAACAGUUAUGUCUAAACUUGAGAGAGAGCUCAAAUUUGAAAACUAGGUAGUUGGCAGAGCAACUAUUCAUCAUUCCAUGUAAGAGUUUACCAUUGGAGUUCAAUUUGGCAUAGACACUUUAUUUAUUUAUUUAGCAAACUAAGCAAAGAUAUAUAUAUAAGCACAAAAUCUUUAUUUGGGUUUUUAUGAUUAUGCAUCUUUUUAUUAUUUGAGUAAAGU
rnacentral:lncRNA from 1 species